rnacentral:rRNA from 1 species
AAUCUUCAUGGUUGCUGGGUAGGAGAGCGUCCUGCGAGGGGCGAAGCGGCCGGGUGACCGUGCCGUGGACUUCGUGGGAGUGAGAAUGCAGACAUGAGUAGCGAGAGACGGGUGAGGAUCCCGUCCGCUGGAUGACCAAGGGUUCCGGGGCCACGUUCGUCGUCCCCGGGUGAGUCGGGUCCUAAGGCGAGGCCGACAGGCGUAGUCGAAUGGAUGAACGGGUGGAUAUUCCCGUACCGACCAUGGACCGGCAAAACCGAGACGGUGAGUACUAACCUCCGCCUCGUGGUGGUUCCUUCCUUCGGGUUGGUUCCGCCGCGUGGUGUUGGGAGCGUAGCCGUAGUAGGUCAGCGCAGGGGUGACACGGAAUGGGAGCCGGCCGCGGAGGUGGUUUUCCGUGGUCAAGCACGCAGCCAGUCAUGUAGGCAAAUCCGCAUGGCGCGCAUGGCGAGGUGUGAUGAUGGGAGCCGUUAUGGCUCGAUAUCCGGUUGUCCAGGCCGUCGAGAAAAGCCUCGGCGUGAGGGCCAUGGCCGCCCGUACCCCAAACCGACACUGGUGGUCAGGUAGAGAAUACCAAGGCGAUCGAGCGAAUCCUGGUCAAGGAACUCGGCAAAUCACUCCCGUGCCUUCGGUAUAAGGGAGACCCGCUGGGGUGAAGGACCUUGCGUCCGGAGCUUUGGUGGGUGGCACAGACCAGGGGGUAGCGACUGUUUACCAAAAACACAGGUGCAUGCGAAGGCGAAAGCCGCUGUAUAUGCACUGACGCCUGCCCGGUGCCGGAAGGUUAAGAGGAUCCGUCAACUCUUCGGAGCGAAGCGGUGAAUUCAAGCCCCGGUAAACGGCGGUGGUAACUAUAACCAUCCUAAGGUAGCGAAAUUCCUUGUCGGGUAAGUUCCGACCUGCACGAAUGGCGUAACGACUUCCCCACUGUCUCGACCAGGAGCUCGGCGAAAUUGCAGUACGAGUAAAGAUGCUCGUUAAGCGCAGAAGGACGAAAAGACCCCGGGACCUUUACUAUACCUUGGUAUUGGCGUUAGGCGCGGAUUGUGUAGCAUAGGCGGGAGGCUUCGAAGCGUGGGCGCCAGCUCAUGUGGAGCCGCAAGGUGAAAUACCGCUCUGUUCUCGUUUGACGUCUAACCUCGACAAGUCAUCCUUGUCAGGGACAGUGCCUGGCGGGUAGUUCAACUGGGGCGGUUGCCUCCCAAAGAGUAACGGAGGCGCUCAAAGGUCCGCUCAGCCCGGUUGGCAAUCGGGUGUCGAGUGUAAUCGCACAAGCGGGCUUGACUGCGAGGACGACGGUCCGAGCAGGGACGAAAGUCGGAGAUAGUGAUCCGGUGCCGGCGCACGGGCGCGGCAUCGCUCAACGGAUAAAAGGUACCCCGGGGAUAACAGGCUGAUCAUUCCCAAGAGUCCAUAUCGACGGGAUGGUUUGGCACCUCGAUGUCGGCUCGUCGCAUCCUGGGGCUGGAGCAGGUCCCAAGGGUUCGGCUGUUCGCCGAUUAAAGCGGCACGCGAGCUGGGUUCAGAACGUCGUGAGACAGUUUGGUCUCUAUCCUCUGCGCUCGUUGGAAUCCUGAGGAGGCCUGCCCAUAGUACGAGAGGACCUGGGUGGACGAACCUCUGGUAUGCCGGUUGUCGCGCCAGCGGCACGGCCGGUUGGCUACGUUCGGGAGGGAUAACCGCUGAAAGCAUCUAAGCGGGAAGCCUGCUCCAAGAUUAGGAUUCCAUGGAUCUUCGAGAUCCUGUAGCCCGCAUGUUGAACACGUGUUUGAUAGGCCGGAGGUGGAAGCCCCGUGAGGGGUGGAGCCGACCGGUACUAACGGGCGACGGCGACACAA